AGGUCCCGGAAGCACUGCAGGAAGUGACGGUCAUUUCCACCCCCACCGCCCCCCAUCCCCCCCCGGGGCACCGCAGCCGCCCCCAUCCGCCCCCAACAGGGCCGCAGGAGCGCAGUGGGGAGCCGUGGGUGCCCGACAUGCUGAGCUCGGGGGACGAGGACCCCCCGCAGCCCCUGCUGUGGGUUUGGGUCCGGAGGAGGAGGAGGUGGAGGAGCUGCCCCAACACCGGGACGUCCUCCGGCUCCUCCUGCUCAGUUCUCAUCCCUUCCCCAUCAUUCCCACCCCCUUCCCGUGGUUCCCAUCCCUCAUUUCCACCCCCUUCCCACCCCCUUCCCAUCCCGUUCCCAUUCUUCCCAUCCCCUUUCCACGCUCCCCAUCCCAGGGGUGCAUUUCCCCCCCAUCCCCG
rnacentral:lncRNA from 1 species